CCUGAAGAGACAAAGUAGACUAACGUAGGU
rnacentral:piRNA from 1 species